AAAAUAGCAUAAUCUAAUAUAUUACAAGAAAUGCCGCGUGGAGGUAGAAGGCCCACGGGUCGUGAACUUCUUUUCCCGGAGAAGAAGCAAUGACGAUAUUUGGGGAAUAAGCAUCGGUUAACUUUGUGCCAGCAGCUGCGGUAAUACAGAGGAUACAAGCGUUAUCUGGAAUGAUUGGGCGUAAAGCGUUUGUAGGUGGCUUUUUAAGUCCGCCGUCAAAUCCCAGGGCUCAAUCCUGGACAGGCGGUGGAAACUACCAAGCUAGAGUACGGUAGGGCCAAAGGGAAUUUUCGGUGGAGUGGUGAAAUGCGUAGAGAUCGGAAAGAACACCAAUGGCGAAAGCACUCUGCUGAGCCGACACUAACACUGAGAGAUGAAAGCUAGGGGAGCGAAUGGGAUUAGAUACCCCAGUAGUCCUAGCCGUAAACGAUGGAUAAUAGGCGCUGUGCGUAUCGAGCCGUGCAGUGCUAUAGCUAACGAGUUAAGUAUCCUGCCUGGGAGUACGUUCGCAAGAAUGAAACUCAAAGGAAUUGACGGGAGAAACUUUAAAAAUAAGUUGGGUCAGGUCAAGUUCGGGCAUUGAAUAUAUAAACUUUAGCUUGACCUAUAUUUUAAAUUGAAUUAUUUUUUAU
rfam:Gossypium raimondii Chr07_contig_715, whole genome shotgun sequence.